rnacentral:rRNA from 1 species
AAUGCGGAGCUACCAUGCAAGUCGAACGGCAGCACAGUAAGAGCUUGCUCUUAUGGGUGGCGAGUGGCGGACGGGUGAGGAAUACAUCGGAAUCUACCUUUUCGUGGGGGAUAACGUAGGGAAACUUACGCUAAUACCGCAUACGACCUUCGGGUGAAAGCAGGGGACCUUCGGGCCUUGCGCGGAUAGAUGAGCCGAUGUCGGAUUAGCUAGUUGGCGGGGUAAAGGCCCACCAAGGCGACGAUCCGUAGCUGGUCUGAGAGGAUGAUCAGCCACACUGGAACUGAGACACGGUCCAGACUCCUACGGGAGGCAGCAGUGGGGAAUAUUGGACAAUGGGCGCAAGCCUGAUCCAGCCAUACCGCGUGGGUGAAGAAGGCCUUCGGGUUGUAAAGCCCUUUUGUUGGGAAAGAAAAGCAAUCGAUUAAUACUCGGUUGUUCUGACGGUACCCAAAGAAUAAGCACCGGCUAACUUCGUGCCAGCAGCCGCGGUAAUACGAAGGGUGCAAGCGUUACUCGGAAUUACUGGGCGUAAAGCGUGCGUAGGUGGUUGUUUAAGUCUGUUGUGAAAGCCCUGGGCUCAACCUGGGAAUUGCAGUGGAUACUGGGCGACUAGAGUGUGGUAAGAGGGUAAUGACGUCAAGUCAUCAUGGCCCUUACGACCAGGGCUACACACGUACUACAAUGGUAGGGAC